rnacentral:lncRNA from 1 species
ACCUUUCUAUUCUCAACGCUUACUCUCUUUGACUCUAUUCAAAUAUCUCUUUAAGGAAUUUGAUAUUUGGGUGCGAUUUAAGAGCUAUUAACUGCCUAGACUCUUUCAUUUUGCAUUGUUCAUAAAAAUCAAAUGAAUAUGACAGGUGAAACUGCAAUUGCCUGGGAUCAUAGAGGCUCUCAAUUUUUGUUCAUCCGAAGCUUUACACUGUGUUUGGUUCGCCGUAUUACCCAAUCCAUUACGCCCCGAUUACGUGCGUAUUACAUUACGCCCCUAUUCCGGCGUUUGGUUCGCUGUAAUAGGUAUUACGCGCGUAAUCGGUUACGCCCCUAAUCCCCAAAUUCCCGUGUUUUCCAAUCCCUUCCCUUUUCGCUGUAUUAGCUAUUACUUCCGGCCUCCCUCCCCAUCUCCCUGUUUUACCCUCCCUCCCUACCCGACCCUCUCCUCUUCCGUCCUAAUCAUUUUCUCCUCCCAUUUCCCACUUCUUCCGUUGAUUAUUCUGUCGUGAAAUUUUAGGCAAAAGGUCUUCCGUGCAUGAA